rnacentral:rRNA from 1 species
AUGUGGACCUGUCUUCGUCAGCGCUAUGAGCCCUCUGGUGAUGCCUUAUACCUUUCUGUGGUCCGUUAGGAGCAUGCUCUUCAGCAGGGUGACUCUACUGUUGAUGACUUCUAUGCACAGAGUUCGGCUAUCUGGCGCCAGCUUGACUCUCUCCGCAGUGCUGGUUGUCGUACUUGCCCCUGUUGCCAUGCUGUCCAGGCCAAUUUGGAGUUUCAUCGCGUCUACGAGUUCCUGUCUCGGCUUCGUAAGGAGUUUGAGCCCCGGCGUACUGAGUUGUUUGCUCGUGGACGUAUUUCUCUCAUGGAGGCGUUUUCUGAGAUUCGUGCUGAGGAGACUCGCUUACGUGGUGCUGGUUUGCUGGAGGUUUCCUCUGUGCUCGCUACUCGGGCUUCUUCCACGCCACCUGCUGCACCGACCCCUUCUCGCUCGAGUGCUCCACCGCUCUUGCCCACUCCUUCUGGAGGCUCAGGUCGCCCUCGUCCACAUUGCGACUACUACAACGAUGAUGGUCAUAUUGAGUCCAGAUACACGAAGAGGAAACACCUGCGCAAGGCGCGAUCAUCAUCUUAAGGGACUUCGUCA